AACGCUGGCGGCGUAGCCUAACACAUGCAAGUCGAGCGGAGAUACAUGUCUAAGAGAUUCGGUCGAAUAAUGUAUCUUAGCGGCGGAUGGGUGAGGAACGCGUGGAGAACCUGCCUUCACAGGGGGAUAACAGCUGGAAACGGCUGUUAAUACCGCAUAUGCUCACAGGAUCGCAUGAUCCAAGGGAGGAAAGCCGAGACGGUGAAGGAUGGCUCCGCGUCGGAUUAGCCAGUUGGCGGGUAACGGCCACCAAAGCGAUGAUCCGUAGCCGGCCUGAGAGGGCGACCGGCCACAUUGGGACUGAGACACGGCCCAAACUCCUACGGGAGGCAGCAGUGGGGGAUAUUGCACAAUGGGGGAAACCCUGACGCAGCGACGCCGCGUGAGUGAGGAAGGCCUUCGGGUCGUAAAGCUCUGUCAAGAGGAAAGAAGUGUACAAUGGCUAAUACCUGUUGUAUUUGACGGUACCUCUAAAGGAAGCACCGGCUAACUCCGUGCCAGCCGCCGC
rnacentral:rRNA from 1 species